AGAGUUUGAUCCUGGCUCAGAGCGAUCGUUGGCGGCAGGCCUAACACAUGCAAGUCGAACGACCUCUUCGGAGGGAGUGGCGAACGGGUGAGUAUAACUUGGAAAUCUACCUUGGGGUGGGGGACAACGUUUGGAAACAGACGCUAAUACCGCAUACGCCAUAUUGGGAAAACUACGGUGCCCUAAGAUGAGUCCAAGCCUGAUUAGCUAGUUGGUGGGGUAAUAGCCUACCAAGGCAACGAUCAGUAGCGGGUUUGAGAGGAUGAUCCGCCACACUGGAACUGAGACACGGUCCAGACUCCUACGGGAGGCAGCAGUGGGGAAUAUUGCGCAAUGGGGGAAACCCUGACGCAGCCAUGCCGCGUGCACGAUGAAGGCCUUAGGGUUGUAAAGUGCUUUCGCUAGGGAAGAUAAUGACGGUACCUAGAUAAGAAGUCCCGGCUAACUCCGUGCCAGCAGCCGCGGUAAUACGGAGGGGGCAAACGAUGCUCGGAUUCACUGGGCGUAAAGCGACCGCAGGCGGCUUAUUAAGCCAGAUGUGAAAGCCCCGGGCUCAACCUGGGAACUGCAUUUGGAACUGGUAAGCUAGAGUAUGAUAGAGGUAGACGGAAUUGCCAGUGUAGAGGUGAAAUUCGUAGAUAUUGGCAGGAACACCAGAAGUGAAGACGGUUCACUGGAUCAUUACUGACGCUCAGGGUCGAAAGCGUGGGGAGCAAACAGGAUUAGAUACCCUGGUAGUCCACGCCCUAAACGAUGUGUACUCGUUGUCGGACGUUCAGCGUUCGGUGACUAAGCUAACGCAUUAAGUACACCGCCUGGGGACUACGGCCGCAAGGUUAAAACUCAAAGGAAUUGACGGGGACCCGCACAAGUGGUGGAGCGUGUUGUUUAAUUCGAAGAUACGCGAAGAACCUUACCUAGCCUUGACAUCCUGAUCAUACUUUCCAGAAAUGGAUCGGUCAUUUAGUUGGAUCAGUGACAGGUGUUGCAUGGCUAUCGUCAGCUCGUGUCGUGAGAUGUUGGGUUAAGUCCCGCAACGAGCGCAACCCUCGCCGUUAAUUGCCAGCAUUUAGUUGGGCACUUUAGCGGAACCGCCGGGGAUAACCCGGAGGAAGGUGGGGACGACGUCAAGUCAUCAUGGCCCUUACGGCUAGGGCUACAGACGCGCUACAAUGGUGCCGACAACGGGAAGCAAUAUCGCGAGAUGGAGCCAACCCUACAAACGGCAUCCCAGUUCAGAUUGUAGUCUGCAACUCGACUACAUGAAGUUGGAAUCACUAGUAAUCGCAGAUCAGAAUGCUGCGGUGAAUACCGUUCCCGGGUCUUGUACACACCGCCUGUCAAGUCAUGGGAGUGAGGUCUGCCCGAAUUGGGUGAGCUAACCGCAAGGAGGCAGCUCAACACGGUAGGACUCGCGACUGGGACUAAGUCAUAACAAGGUA
rnacentral:rRNA from 1 species